rnacentral:rRNA from 1 species
ACGAACGCUGGCGGCGUGCUUAACACAUGCAAGUCGAACGGAAAGGCCCUGCUUUUGUGGGGUGCUCGAGUGGCGAACGGGGGAGUAACACGUGAGUAACCUGCCCUUGACUUUGGGAUAACUUCAGGAAACUGGGGCUAAUACCGGAUAGGAGCUCCUGCUGCAUGGUGGGGGUUGGAAAGUUUCGGCGGUUGGGGAUGGACUCGCGGCUUAUCAGCUUGUUGGUGGGGUAGUGGCUUACCAAGGCUUUGACGGGUAGCCGGCCUGAGAGGGUGACCGGCCACAUUGGGACUGAGAUACGGCCCAGACUCCUACGGGAGGCAGCAGUGGGGAAUAUUGCACAAUGGGCGUAAGCCUGAUGCAGCAACGCCGCGUGCGGGAUGACGGCCUUCGGGUUGUAAACCGCUUUCGCCUGUGACGAAGCGUGAGUGACGGUAAUGGGUAAAGAAGCACCGGCUAACUACGUG